AUUGAACGCUGGCGGCAUGCCUUACACAUGCAAGUCGAACGGCAGCACGGGAGCAAUCCUGGUGGCGAGUGGCGAACGGGUGAGUAAUAUAUCGGAAUGUGCCCAGUCGUGGGGGAUAACGUAGCGAAAGCUACGCUAAUACCGCAUACGAUCUAUGGAUGAAAGCGGGGGAUCGCAAGACCUCGCGCGAUUGGAGCGGCCGAUAUCAGAUUAGGUAGUUGGUGAGGUAAAGGCUCACCAAGCCGACGAUCUGUAGCUGGUCUGAGAGGACGACCAGCCACACUGGGACUGAGACACGGCCCAGACUCCUACGGGAGGCAGCAGUGGGGAAUUUUGGACAAUGGGCGCAAGCCUGAUCCAGCAAUGCCGCGUGCAGGAUGAAGGCC
rnacentral:rRNA from 1 species